GGUGGGUGGGUGUGCGCGUGUGUACGAGAGACGUAACAGCGAAUGAAGAAGGGAGGAUCCUGGAUGGUGGCAGUGGAUAGAUAAAAAGAGCCUCGCAACCACGGACAUCCUGGUGUCAACUCCAAGAGUCCAAGACUUCUCCUUGGUUUACUUUUCCUGAAACAUUAACUGUGAACAAGAUGAAAUUAGAUCUUCUUGCCCUGACCCUAUGCCUCCUUGGUACAGCCGUGCUGUGCAGAGGGCAGACAACCACAAUUUCCCCAAGUUCAACUAAGGUGACACCCACUCCAGCCCCGGGUACACUUGCUCCUUCCUCAACUUCAGCAACGACACCUCAUCCAGGCUCGACCACGCCGAAUCCAGGUUCAACUACACCCCAUCCAGGAACCGCCACGCCUGAUCCAGGCAUGACAACCAGUACCGCGCCAUCCACCGCAGUAGCAACUGGCUCAUCUCCAUCACCGAAUCCAACUACCCCAGCAAAAGAGACCACUCCCAUCACUGGGGGUCAAGGUGGUGGUGGAGGUGGGUCUGAGGGGCUUUCAGACGGCGCCAUUGCAGGCAUCACAAUUGGUUCUAUUGCCGGCGUGGCCGCUAUCGGUGGCGGUAUCUUUGGAGUACUCAAGUACACUGGGAGAGUGUGAGAAGCAAGACGGCUUCUAUGAUGAAUCAGCAUCAUAUAUUUUUUAAAUAAAUUAUUUGGCGGGAUAUGUGAAGAGACAUUUCUGUGCACUUGGAUUUAAAUUGAAAGGGCUAAUUAUACAUGAAUGCGUGGUGUUUUGUUUUUGGUAAAUAAAUAUUCCUGAAAAUCG